rnacentral:rRNA from 1 species
UGGGGAAUAUUGGACAAUGGGCGAAAGCCUGAUCCAGCCAUGCCGCGUGUGUGAAGAAGGUCUUCGGAUUGUAAAGCACUUUAAGUUGGGAGGAAGGGCAGUAAGCGAAUACCUUGCUGUUUUGACGUUACCGACAGAAUAAGCACCGGCUAACUCUGUGCCAGCAGCCGCGGUAAUACAGAGUGUGCAAGCGUUAAUCGGAAUUACUGGGCGUAAAGCGCGCGUAGGUGGUUCGUUAAGUUGAAUGUGAAAGCCCCGGGCUCAACCUGGGAACUGCAUCCAAAGCUGGCGGGCUAGAGUAGGGCAGAGGGUGGUGGAAUUUCCUGUGGAGCGGUGAAAUGCGUAGAUAUAGGAAGGAACACCAGUGGCGAAGGCGACCACCUGGGCUCAUACUGACACUGAGGUGCGAAAGCGUGGGGAGCAAACAGG